CGGCCCUGGCUGAGCUUGCGUUGCACCAACAUCCAUCCCCCGCCCCUCGACAUUGGGUUCCUGCCCAGGGUUCUGGCUUUCUUCCUGGGCUUUGUAGCGCGGCCGGGGGCGGGGCUUUCUAACCUCUCAAGUGGCAAUUCCUUUAGGUUUUGGGGCCUUGGUUGCCCAGAAUGGGCUGCGGCAUAUUCUGUGCUUUCCCGGGCUGGGACGAGCUGACAGAAAUUCUGGGUUUAGCGGUCGCCGACCCAGUGGGCCGCCAUCGGCGCCCAGAGGUGGCUGGGAAGAAUGGGCGAGUUUAGUAGGCGUCCCAGGCUGUCAAAAUCUUUGCUGUUGGCUCGUGCUGUCCAGCUGCGGUAGGUGCAUCCCUGGGAUACCGGAAGAACUAGGCGAG
rnacentral:lncRNA from 1 species